GAUGAACGCUGGCGGCGUGCUUAACACAUGCAAGUCGAACGGAAAGGCCCUGCUUUUGUGGGUUGCUCGAUUGGCGAACGGGUGAGUAACACGUGAGUAACCUGCCCUUGUCUUUGUGAUAACUUUUGGAAACUGCGGCUCAUACCCGAUAGGAUCUCUUGCUGCAUGUUGUUGGUUGGUAAGUUUCGGCUGUUGGGGAUAUUCUCGCGGCUUACCCGCUGCUUGGUGUGGUAGUUGCUUACCAAGGGUUUGACGGGUAGGCGGCCUGGGAGGGUGACCGGCCACAUUGGGACUGCGAUACGGACCAGAAUCCUACGGGACGCAGCAGGCGGGAAUAUUGCGGAACGGGCGGAAGCCUGAUGCAGCAACGCCGCGUGCGGGAUGACGGCCUUCGGGUUGUAAACCGCUUUCGCCGGUGACGAAGCGUGAGUGACGGUAAUGGGUAAAGAAGCAACGGCUAACUACGUG
rnacentral:rRNA from 1 species